UGAGGAAUAUUGGUCAAUGGGGGCAACCCUGAACCAGCCAAGUCGCGUGAAGGAUGAAGGUCUUAUGGAUUGUAAACUUCUUUUAUACAGGAAUAAAUUGGGGGACGUGUCCCCUUUUGCAUGUACUGUAUGAAUAAGGAUCGGCUAACUCCGUGCCAGCAGCCGCGGUAAUACGGAGGAUCCGAGCGUUAUCCGGAUUUAUUGGGUUUAAAGGGUGCGCAGGCGGGAUGUUAAGUCGGCGGUGAAAUUUUGCAGCUCAACUGUAAAAGUGCCUUCGNUACUGGCCUCCUUGAGUGUGGAUGAAGUGGGCGGAAUUUGUGGUGGAGCGGUGAAAUGCUUAGAUAUCACGAGGAACGCCGAUUGCGCAGGCAGCUUACUAAGCCACAACUGACGCUCAUGCACGAAGGCGUGGGGAUCAAACA
rnacentral:rRNA from 1 species